rnacentral:rRNA from 1 species
UACGUAGGGGGCAAGCGUUUGUCCGGAUUUACUGGGCGUAAAGAGCGUGUAGGCGGCCAAGCAGGUCCGUUGUGAAAACUGGAGGCUUAACCUCCAGACGUCGACGGAAACCGCGCGGCUAGAGUCCGGAAGAGGAGAGUGGAAUUCCUGGUGUAGCGGUGAAAUGCGCAGAUAUCAGGAGAACACCAGUGGCGAAGGCGGCUCUG